UUUUUUAUCAUUUUAUAAAAAUGCAGAAAUUUUUUUUAAGCUUUGUUGUUAGUGCACAGAACACUUCAUUGUUGUUUUUUGGGAAAGGGGCAUAUGUCACUAAUAGAAUGUCUCCAAAGCUGGAUUGAUGUGGAGAAAACACCUUUCCCUUAUAGUUUUAUGAGACUUCCUCUUGGCUUCCAGGAGGAGAUGUUCCCCGACGUUAAUACACAUAACCACCUUGGUACAAACGCCUUGUAGUGUGGAAAAACAAAGUUGUUUUUUAUGUCCUCUUCUCCCUUUCUGCCUUCAGCAUAGACUUAAGUCCCUUAAACCCAGACAUCUGUUGGGACCUGACCCCCAAUAAUUGGUUAUCACUAUAUCAGUGAUGCCACUGAGAUGGCACCCGUCAUAAGAGCAGCAGUUCCAUUUAUAGAUUGUGGAUCUUCAGACAAAUUCUGCCAUUUUCAUUUCACUUCCUGAAAGUCAGGGUUGGCUUGUGAAAAGUUGUCAAACAACAUGCUAAAUGUGAAAUAUCAACCCUCACUCUAAACUUUCCCUGUUCAGAGCAUCAAAUGAAGACGUCAUUGGGUUUUUAUAGUGGCUUUCUGAUUUUGGUAGUUCAUUAAAGAAGGGAGUUUGAAAGCAAUUGUAUAUUGUUAACGAUUGUCUGCCCAUGUCCUGCCUGAAAUACCAUGAUUGUUUAUGAAAAAUAUCUUUAAUAAAGCUGGAUACACUUUGGCUUG